rnacentral:rRNA from 1 species
AGAGUUUGAUCAUGGCUCAGAACGAACGCUGGCGGCGUGCCUCUUACAUGCAAGUCGUACGGGGAUUGCGGGGCUUGCCCCGCAAUUCUAGUGGCGAACGGGUGAGUAACGCGUAGGUAACCUACCUUUCGGUUGGGGACAACCUCGGGAAACCGUGGUUAAUACCGAAUACGUUUGCAUUUUUAAAAGACGAUGCAAGGAAAGGCGGCCUCUGCUUGCAUGCUGCCACCGAAAGAUGGGCCUGCGUCCUAUUAGCUUGUUGGUGAGGUAAUGGCUCACCAAGGCGACGAUGGGUAGCCGACUUGAGAGGGUGACCGGCCACACUGGGACUGAGACACGGCCCAGACUCCUACGGGAGGCAGCAGUGGGGAAUAUUGGGCAAUGGGCGCAAGCCUGACCCAGCGACGCCGCGUGAGCGAUGAAGGCCCUUGGGUCGUAAAGCUCUGUCGUAGAGGAAGAACAGCACGGGGACGAAUAAUUCCCGUGUCUGACGGUACUCUGCAAGAAAGCCCCGGCUAACUCCGUGCCAGCAGCCGCGGUAAAACGGAGGGGGCGAGCGUUGUUCGGAAUUACUGGGCGUAAAGGGCGCGUAGGCGGUCAGACAAGUCGGAUGUGAAAUCCUCCGGCCCAACUGGAGAACUGCGUUCGAAACUGUCUGACUUGGGUACAGGAAAGGAGAGUGGAACUCCCAGUGUAGCGGUGAAAUGCGUAGAUAUUGGGAGGAACACCGGUGGCGAAGGCGACUCUCUAGCCUGAUACCGACGCUGAGGCGCGAAAGCCAGGGGAGUGAACGGGAUUAGAUACCCCGGUAGUCCUGGCCGUAAACGAUGGGCACUAGGUGUAGGGGGUAUCGACCCCCUCUGUGCCGAAGCUAACGCAUUAAGUGCCCCGCCUGGGGAGUACGGUCGCAAGACUGAAACUCAAAGGAAUUGACGGGGGCCCGCACAAGCGGUGGAGCAUGUUCUUUAAUUCGACGCAACGCGAAGAACCUUACCGGGGCUUGACAUCCCCUGACAGCCCAUGAAAGUGGGUUUUCUUUUCGGAGACAGGGAGACAGGUGUUGCAUGGCUGUCGUCAGCUCGUGUCGUGAGAUGUUGGGUUAAGUCCCGCAACGAGCGCAACCCUUGUCCCUAGUUGCCAGCGGAUAAUGCCGGGGACUCUAGGGAGACUGCCUCGGAUAACGAGGAGGAAGGUGAGGAUGACGUCAAGUCAUCAUGGCCCUUAUGCCCCGGGCUAGAAACGUGCUACAAUGGUCGGUACAAAGGGUCGCGAUACCGCGAGGUGGAGCCAAUCCCAAAAAGCCGGCCUCAGUUCGGAUUGGAGUCUGCAACUCGACUCCAUGAAGUUGGAAUCGCUAGUAAUCGCGGAUCAGCUACGCCGCGGUGAAUACGUUCCCGGGCCUUGUACACACCGCCCGUCACAUGACCUGAGUCGGGUGCACCCGAAGUCGCUAACCCAACCCCGCUUCGGCGGGGAGGGAGGCGCCGAAGGUGUGUCUGGUAAGGGGGAUGAAGUCGUAACAAGGUAACC